GACGGGCCCGCACAAGCAGCGGAGCGUGUGGUUAAUUCGAUGUUACACGAAGAACCUUACAGGGUUUGACAUGCAAGUGGUAGGAAGCCGAAGGUGACGACCCUUCGGGGAGCUUGCACAGGUGCUGCAUGGCUGUCGUCAGCUCGUGUCGUGAGAUGUUCGGUUAAGUCCGCUAACGAGCGCAACCCUCGCUGUGUGUUAUAUGUGUCACACGGGACUGCCGGUCUUAAGCCGGAGGAAGUGGGGAUGAUGUCAAGUCAGCAUGGCCUUUAUAUCCUGGGCUACACACACGCUACAAUGGCCGACACAAUAGGUUGCUAAGCCGCGAGGUGGCGCCAAUCCAUAAAGUUGGUCUCAGUUCAGAUUGUAGGCUGCAACCCGCCUGCAUGAAGAUGGAGUUGCUAGUAACCGCAGGUCAGCUAUACUGCGGUGAAUACGUUCCCGGGGCUU
rnacentral:rRNA from 1 species